rfam:Gossypium hirsutum cultivar TM-1 unplaced genomic scaffold scaffold666.1, whole genome shotgun sequence
UGUUAAAAAUUUUAUCAAUUUAUGAUGUUAAAAACUGUCGUGGUUGAUGGAAUAAUUAGACUGUUACAUGUGGCAUGCCAUGUGCAUCUCAUGCUGGUGUACAAAGAGUAGUUUUAACAAUAAAAAUGAAUCAAUUUUUUAACU